UACGGGGGGGGGCAAGCGUUGUUCGGAAUUACUGGGCGUAAAGGGCUCGUAGGUGGCCAACUAAGUCAUACGUGAAAUCCCUCGGCUUAACCGGGGAACUGCGUCUGAUACUGGAUGGCUUGAGAUUGGGAGAGGGAUGCGGAAUUCCAGGUGUAGCGGUGAAAUGCGUAGAUAUCUGGAGGAACACCGGUGGCGAAGGCGACAUCCUGGACCAACACUGACGCUGAGGAGCGAAAGCCAGGGGAGCAAACGGG
rnacentral:rRNA from 1 species